ACGUUGGCGGCAGGCCUAAUACAUGCAAGUCGAGCGGUAACAGAUCGCUGUGAUCCCUUCGGGGUGAACUUGAUGCUGACGAGCGGCGGACGGGUGAGUAACGCGUAGGAAUCUACCCAGUAGCGGGGGAUAGCCCGGGGAAACUCGGAUUAAUACCGCAUAGGCCCCACCGGGGAAAGGCGGGGAUCUCUUCGGAGACCUGUCACUAUUGGAGGAGCCUGCGUUGGAUUAGCUAGUUGGUGGGGUAAAGGCCCACCAAGGCGACGAUCCAUAGCUGGUCUGAGAGGACGAUCAGCCACACUGGAACUGAGACACGGUCCAGACUCCUACGGGAGGCAGCAGUAGGGAACAUUGCACAAUGGGGGAAACCCUGAUGCAGCCAUGCCGCGUGUGUGAAGAAGGCCUUAGGGUUGUAAAGCACUUUCAGUAAGGAAGAAAAAGCAGGGCUAAUACCCCUGUCUUAUGACAUUACUUACAGAAGAAGCACCGGCUAACUCCGUGCCAGCAGCCGCGGUAAUACGGAGGGUGCGAACGUUAAUCGGAAUUACUGGGCGUAAAGCGCGCGUAGGCGGUUUAUUAAGUGGGAUGUGAAAGCCCCGGGCUCAACCUGGG
rnacentral:rRNA from 1 species